rnacentral:rRNA from 2 species
UUAAUUGAGAGUUUGAUCCUGGCUCAGGACGAACGCUGGCGGCGUGCCUAAUACAUGCAAGUCGAACGAACUCUGGUAUUGAUUGGUGCUUGCAUCAUGAUUUACAUUUGAGUGAGUGGCGAACUGGUGAGUAACACGUGGGAAACCUGCCCAGAAGCGGGGGAUAACACCUGGAAACAGAUGCUAAUACCGCAUAACAACUUGGACCGCAUGGUCCGAGUUUGAAAGAUGGCUUCGGCUAUCACUUUUGGAUGGUCCCGCGGCGUAUUAGCUAGAUGGUGAGGUAACGGCUCACCAUGGCAAUGAUACGUAGCCGACCUGAGAGGGUAAUCGGCCACAUUGGGACUGAGACACGGCCCAAACUCCUACGGGAGGCAGCAGUAGGGAAUCUUCCACAAUGGACGAAAGUCUGAUGGAGCAACGCCGCGUGAGUGAAGAAGGGUUUCGGCUCGUAAAACUCUGUUGUUAAAGAAGAACAUAUCUGAGAGUAACUGUUCAGGUAUUGACGGUAUUUAACCAGAAAGCCACGGCUAACUACGUGCCAGCAGCCGCGGUAAUACGUAGGUGGCAAGCGUUGUCCGGAUUUAUUGGGCGUAAAGCGAGCGCAGGCGGUUUUUUAAGUCUGAUGUGAAAGCCUUCGGCUCAACCGAAGAAGUGCAUCGGAAACUGGGAAACUUGAGUGCAGAAGAGGACAGUGGAACUCCAUGUGUAGCGGUGAAAUGCGUAGAUAUAUGGAAGAACACCAGUGGCGAAGGCGGCUGUCUGGUCUGUAACUGACGCUGAGGCUCGAAAGUAUGGGUAGCAAACAGGAUUAGAUACCCUGGUAGUCCAUACCGUAAACGAUGAAUGCUAAGUGUUGGAGGGUUUCCGCCCUUCAGUGCUGCAGCUAACGCAUUAAGCAUUCCGCCUGGGGAGUACGGCCGCAAGGCUGAAACUCAAAGGAAUUGACGGGGGCCCGCACAAGCGGUGGAGCAUGUGGUUUAAUUCGAAGCUACGCGAAGAACCUUACCAGGUCUUGACAUACUAUGCAAAUCUAAGAGAUUAGACGUUCCCUUCGGGACAUGGAUACAGGUGGUGCAUGGUUGUCGUCAGCUCGUGUCGUGAGAUGUUGGGUUAAGUCCCGCAACGAGCGCAACCCUUAUUAUCAGUUGCCAGCAUUAAGUUGGGCACUCUGGUGAGACUGCCGGUGACAAACCGGAGGAAGGUGGGGAUGACGUCAAAUCAUCAUGCCCUUAUGACCUGGGCUACACACGUGCUACAAUGGAUGGUACAACGAGUUGCGAACUCGCGAGAGUAAGCUAAUCUCUUAAAGCCAUUCUCAGUUCGGAUUGUAGGCUGCAACUCGCCUACAUGAAGUCGGAAUCGCUAGUAAUCGCGGAUCAGCAUGCCGCGGUGAAUACGUUCCCGGGCCUUGUACACACCGCCCGUCACACCAUGAGAGUUUGUAACACCCAAAGUCGGUGGGGUAACCUUUUAGGAACCAGCCGCCUAAGGUGGGACAGAUGAUUAGGGUGAAGUCGUAACAAGGUAGCCGUAGGAGAACCUGCGGCUGGAUCACCUCCUUUCUAAGGAA